UUUAACUAACAGCUCCUUUUUAAAUCUACAACGGGCUUUAAUUAUUAUGCUUAUAAUUUCAAUUUUUUUAUUUUUUAAUCAAUCAAUAUAAUAAUUUAGAUCUUUAUCGAACCUCAUCUACGGUUUUCAGACCGGACGCCGCCAACCACCAGGUGCUCCCAAUACUGGAUCUUCGUCUUCUUCUCCAAUAGAGAGCAUGAGAUUUGGCCGGCGUAUGUCUCGGUGGAUGAGAUUUCAGAGGCGAUGGCGGCUUUGGCACAAUCGCCGUUGUCAGUCGAAAUGGGAAUCGAUCUCCGAGAUCGAUUGAAUUAUGGGCGGCGAAUUGAUGGCGGAAAGAGGAUUCAUCUAGCCUAGCUUCCCUUGGAUAACACUGUCAGCUCACUAUCUCAGAACACACUCUAAGCUCUUCUCGAUCUAUCAGGUCAAAGUUAUUUUUCUUCAUUUUUUAGUUUAUCCUCUUGUUUGAUAUUUUCCUAUUAUCGUAUUGAUUUAUUCAUAAUGUUUCUGUUCCAGAAAUUGGUCUGUGAUUUUAUAAAUUGGUAUAAAGAACAACAUUUGGUAUGUAUCAUGAUUAAAAUUCUGGGUUUUUUUUCCUGCAGGUUCAGUAGUAAUUACUAGUUGUUUUGUUUGUUUUACAACUCUUUUUUACUGUUUCAUUAGCUAGGAAGAAUCAAAUGGGUUCCAGUUAAUUGACUAAUCAAUUUACUAAGAGUAAUUUCAACUGGGACUUUAAUCUAACUGUUGGUGGAUGGAAAUCCAUGCCAAAUAGGGUAUAUGUAUGUCUGCAUGAUUGUGUUUGGCCAAGCUUAAUGGUUUUGUGAUGAGAUCUUUCAAUCCUCUACAUUGUUUCAAGUAUUGAAUCCCCAUAGGAGAUCUCUGGAUUCAACGUUGGACAUGUCGAUUUUUCUUUCAGGAAACAUCCUGAGAUGAAAUUCUGGUGUUUAAGAAUUUUAAUAUAAAUUUUGAGUGAUGUUUCAUUCUUAAGCUUUGCAGUUUCCAGUUAUAUUUGCACAAAAGACUUGCAGACAGGGUAAACAUUUUAUUAAUUUUUGGGCUAAUGAUUGAUUUGGUUUAUCGCAUUGGUUUGCUUUAUCUUAUAUAGUAUAUAUUUGCAGAAAUAUAUGUAGUGGCUCUAUUCAGUAGGUUCAUAAUCGAAUCAUGUGUUUAUUUUCUUAAAGUGCUUCCCGUAUUAUAAUUUGUCAAGAGUUCAAUUGCCAAGGAAUACAUUCAUAGAAAGGUUUAGAGGCAGAAAUUGUACAUAAAACGCUAGUUUUAGAGGUAGUGCGGUUGAGAAGAAUAUCUAGAAACUUAAUGAUUGUAAGUAAGUUCUUGGCUGCGUUUGCUCCAUUCUCUGCAUAUGCAAUGCUAAUUUUGCACUACAUGCUCUUGUUGGAGUUAAUUUUGUACAUCUGUGCAAGUCUUUACUGAUUAAUUUUUUUUCUUCAUGUGUGGACUGUUGGAGACUAUGCAGAUGCUUAUGUCUAUGCAGAUAGAGAGACAACAAUUGAUGAGGCUCAAGCAUUAGGUGCAGUAUUUCACUCUCGAAGUCCUUUAAUUGGUGGUGUUCAAAGAAAUGUAAAGUCUUCAAGUGACAAUGUUCUGUUUGGUACCCUCAUGGAUGGUUUCUUAUUUCUCAGUAGAACUCAUUGGUUCUAUGGUUAGCUUUAGUGUACAGCUUGUAAUAUUUCAGUUAAGUGAUUUUGUGUAAAAUUAUUAUAUUGUAGUAAAUGUGGAAUUUUGUGUAUAUAUAUAUAUUGGAAUUUUUUUA